UUCAUUACCCAACUACACCAGUUAAGGUGGAGUAUAUUGAAGAUAUAAUAAUAAAUAUUUAGUUAUCUUUUUUGACAUAACUCUGCUUUUUAACAAAUAAGAUGUCCUAUCAAUAAAAAUCAGAUAAAAUAUUUCUAUGAUUAAAAUUUAUGGUUAAAAUUUUAUCUUAAUAUCUAGCUAACAUGUUUUAUUCUAUUUUCUGCCAACUGCAUCUAUAAAAGUGAAUCCUAGAAUGAUUCACCUAAAUUUGCAGACGAAUACCCAGUAUAUUAGUGUUUGAGUAAUAGUCCAUUUUGUAAGUGAGGAAAAUAAUUAUACUGCUGAACUGAGAAUGUGAAAAACAUAUUAGAAAGUAAAUAAGAUUAUAUAAUUCUUCAAACUUCCAAAAGAGAGCACAUGCAGUUAACUGGUCUUAUUAUAAGUCAUCUAAAUCUGAAAUCAACUCUGAAUUCUAUAUCUCCAGAUUUUUUCUGGAAGAGAGCCAGGCUGGUCUAUCAAUUAUGUGGGGAUCUGACUCCGUUUCUACCUCCUGUCGGUCCUAAACUCGGUCCGAAUGGGCCAAGAUUGUCGCUCAUUAUUAUUAUAAUAUUGUUAAAUAAUGAAGUAAAAUUCGCUUCCGUUGAAGGAAGUAAGAAUUUAUCUAAAUUCCAUAUCGACA
rnacentral:lncRNA from 1 species